AUACUUACCUGACAGGGGAAAUACCAUGAUCACGAAGGCAGUUUUCCCAGGGCGAGGCUUACACAUUGCACUCUGGAUGUGCUGACCCCUGUGAUUUUGCCAAAUGUGGGAAACGCAACUGCACAAUUUUGUAGUGGGGGAUUGUGUUUGUGUUCUCCCCUG